GAUGAACGCUAGCGGCAGGCCUAAUACAUGCAAGUCGAACGGUGUAGCAAUACACAGUGGCGCACGGGUGCGUAACACGUAUGCAACCUACCUUACAUUGGGGGAUAGCCUUUCGAAAGGGAGAUUAAUACCGCAUAAGACAGUAACUAGGCAUCUAGUAGCUGUUAAAGAUUUAUCGAUGUAAGCUGGGCAUGCGUCCAAUUAGUUAGUUGGCGAGGUAAUGGCUCACCAAGACGAUGAUUGGUAGGGGAACUGAGAGGUCAAUCCCCCACACUGGCACUGAGAUACGGGCUAGACUCCUACGGGAGGCAGCAGUAGGGAAUAUUGGGCAAUGGGCGCAAGCCUGACCCAGCCAUGCCGCGUGCAGGAAGAAGGCGUUAUGCGUUGUAAACUGCUUUUAUACAGGAAGAAACGACUCUUGCGAGAGGCAUUGACGGUACUGUAUGAAUAAGCACCGGCUAACUCCGUGCCAGCCGCCGCCGUAACAC
rnacentral:rRNA from 1 species